rnacentral:rRNA from 1 species
GACGAACGCUGGCGGCGUGCUUAACACAUGCAAGUCGAACGAAAAGAGGGAAAGAGCUUGCUCUUUCCGGAAUUGAGUGGCAAACGGGUGAGUAACACGUAAACAACCUGCCUUCAGGAUGGGGACAACAGACGGAAACGACUGCUAAUACCGAAUAAGUUCCAAGGGCCGCAUGGCCCAUGGAAGAAAAGGUGGCCUCUACCUGUAAGCUAUCGCCUGAAGAGGGGUUUGCGUCUGAUUAGCUGGUUGGAGGGGUAACGGCCGACCAAGGCGACGAUCAGUAGCCGGUCUGAGAGGAUGAACGGCCACACUGGAACUGAGACACGGUCCAGACUCCUACGGGAGGCAGCAGUGGGGAAUCUUCCGCAAUGGGCGAAAGCCUGACGGAGCAACGCCGCGUGAGUGAUGACGGCCUUCGGGUUGUAAAACUCUGUGAUCCGGGACGAAAAGGCAGAGUGCGAAGAACAAACUGCAUUGACGGUACCGGAAAAGCAAGCCACGGCUAACUACGUG